UAGGGAAUCUUCGGCAAUGGACGAAAGUCUGACCGAGCAACGCCGCGUGAGUGAAGAAGGUUUUCGGAUCGUAAAACUCUGUUGUUAGAGAAGAACAAGGACGUUAGUAACUGAACGUCCCCUGACGGUAUCUAACCAGAAAGCCACGGCUAACUUCGUGCCAGCAGCCGCGGUAAUACGUAGGUGGCAAGCGUUGUCCGGAUUUAUUGGGCGUAAAGCGAGCGCAGGCGGUUUCUUAAGUCUGAUGUGAAAGCCCCCGGCUCAACCGGGGAGGGUCAUUGGAAACUGGGAGACUUGAGUGCAGAAGAGGGGAGUGGAAUUCCAUGUGUAGCGGUGAAAUGCGUAGAUAUAUGGAGGAACACCAGUGGCGAAGGCGGCUCUCUGGUCUGUAACUGACGCUGAGGCUCGAAAGCGUGGGGAGCAAACAGG
rnacentral:rRNA from 1 species